GUGCGGGCUCUGGGGCGCGGGCCCCGGACUGUGGGUUCCCGUCGCUGUUGGGUCACCUCACGGACGAGCUCUCCUGGGGGCCGUGUCCCCGUGGGUUCGCCGCAAGCCCUCCGGAGUCUGCUCCGGUGUCAGGAAAAGCCGCGGUUUUUCGGAGCCCUUUGACUUGGCUUUUCAGAACUGUGCUGCCGGAGACCGUUGGUUUGCGUGUGUUUUAUUUUUAUCACUUUUUUUUUUUUUUUAAACCAACUCACCGCCAUCUCUGCUCCCCUCAGUGGGUAAACUUUGUGGUCAGCUGUUACCGCUUUAUUGCGUUAAAUUAGUAUUCUCUGGCGGCAGCCUUUCUAUGCCUGCCAGACGCUAGGCACCUUUAAAAGAUGCAUAUUUGUGUAGGAAUUAGUGGCGCCGAGGAGACCACGGGACGGGAAGCCUCUUGCAUUUUUAGACUUCUUGAAAAUUACACUAUUCCUGAGCAACUUGCCGAGGAAUAAUUUGUAAACGCCAUAGUGAAGCUUUUAUUUAUGAUGUUAUUGGGAGAAUGAAAAUUUGAUUAUAAACCUGAAGCUUUUAUCCGUCAGACUACUUUUGAGAUUUAUAUGCGCUGUCUGGACAUUUAACUAUCAUUGAAGGUUCUCAGGAGCUGGGCCUUGAUUUUUGCUGGAGUUAAUGUUGUAUUAAAACAGGACUUCGAACGUGGAAGUAGGAAUCCAAGUAGUAUUUUAUGACUGAGGACGUUAACGUUCAUUUUGCAUUAUUAUUCUGAUACCAUUUGUCUAAAGUUGUCUUAUUACUUAAUGUAAAAAGGAUGUGGAUAUCCACUAUUUAUGGCUUAGAGAAUUUUGACAUAAGUAAACAGUUUUAGUUCUCUUAGUUUGGAAAUUACAUUUUUUUCUUUAACUUUUUGAUUGAGAUAUAAAAUAUCUAUGAAGUCAUCAAGCGCAUAAAUCUUAGUUGUACACCUCAGUGAAUUUUUGUUUUUAUUGUGCAACCACCAGCUUUCAUAUUAUACCUGUAGAGCAUUUCCAUCAUUCCAGGAGUUUCCCCCUGCUUCUUCCAAGUCAGUUAUACCCCUGCCCAGCCCCCAUCAGUAUUUUGAUUUCUGUCAUCAUCUAUUAGUUUUCUCUAUUUGGGGCUUGAUAUUAAUGGAAUCCUACAGUAUACUCAGCAUAUUGAUUAUGAGAUUCUUCCAUAAUGUUUCAUGUAUCAGUAGUUCUUUUUUAUUGCUGUGUGGUAAUCCAUUGUAUCAUUAUAUGGCACUCCUCUGUUGGUGGAUAUUUAUGUUUCCAGUUUUUGUAUAUUAUGUAUUUUGAAGAAUGCUAUGAACAUUCUUACAAAUGUCUUGGUGAACAUCUGUGCAUUUCUGUCAGCUGUGGAAUGGCUAAAUCAUAAGAAAAAUCACCACCCGUGUCAUGGAUUUUAUCUGAUUGUGUAGAUCAGAUUUCCUUAUUCUGGAUAUCAUGGUAACAAUAUAGGAAAUAUGCAUUAUUUCUGCAAGUAGAAUUCACUGCUGAAGGAAGAAAUUUUUUAAGCUACAGCCAAAUUCAUUUUGGUACCUUUUAUGGAAAUCCUGAUUUUGUUUUUACUUUUUUAUAACCUUUCGCAAAAGGUAUGAACAAGCAAAGAGCACAUCUCAUUAGGCAAGUCCACAUUAAUAAGAAUGCCUAGAAGAGGAUUGAUUCUUCAGACCCGGACCCACUGGCUACUGUUGGGUCUCGCUUUACUCUGCAGUUUAAUAUUAUUUUUGUACCUUCUGGAAUGUGCCCCCCAGACUGAUGGAAAUGCAUCUCUUCCCGGUAUCGUUGGGGAAAAUUAUGGUAAAGAGUAUUAUCAAGCCCUCCUACAGGAGCAGGAAGAACAUUAUCAAACCAGAGCAACCAGUCUGAAACGCCAGAUUGCCCAAUUAAAACAAGAAUUGCAAGAAAUGAGUGAGAAGAUGAGAUCACUGCAGGAGAGAAAGAAUGUAGGGGCUAAUGGCAUAGGCUAUCAAGGCAACAAAGAGCAAGCACCUAGUGAUCUUUUAGAGUUUCUUCAUUCACAAAUUGACAAAGCUGAAGUUAGCAUAGGAGCCAAACUACCUAGUGAGUAUGGAGUCAUUCCCUUUGAAAGUUUUACCUUAAUGAAAGUAUUCCAGUUGGAAAUGGGUCUCACUCGCCAUCCUGAGGAAAAACCAGUUAGAAAAGAUAAGCGAGAUGAAUUGGUAGAAGUUAUUGAAGCUGGCUUGGAGGUCAUUAAUAAUCCUGAUGAAGACGAUGAACAGGAAGAUGAAGAUGGUCCCCUUGGAGAAAAACUGGUAUUUAAUGAAAAUGACUUCAUAGAAGGUUAUUAUCGCACUGAGAGAGAUAAGGGCACACUGUAUGAACUCUUUUUUAAGAAAGCAGACCUUACGGAAUAUAGACACGUGACUCUCUUCCGCCCUUUUGGACCUCUCAUGAAAGUGAAGAACGAGAUGAUUGACAUUACUAGAUCAAUUAUUAAUAUCAUUGUGCCGCUUGCUGAAAGAACUGAAGCAUUUGCACAGUUUAUGCAGAACUUCAGGGAUGUAUGUAUUCAUCAGGACAAGAGAAUUCAUCUCACAGUGGUGUAUUUUGGUAAAGAAGGACUAUCUAAAGUCAAGUCUAUCCUAGAAUCUGUCACAAGUGAGUCUAAUUUUCACAAUUACACCUUGGUCUCAUUGAAUGAAGAAUUUAAUCGUGGACGAGGACUAAAUGUGGGUGCCCGAGCUUGGGACAAGGGAGAGGUCUUGAUGUUUUUCUGCGAUGUUGAUAUAUAUUUCUCAGCUGAAUUCCUUAACAGCUGCCGGUUAAAUGCUGAGCCAGGUAAGAAGGUGUUUUACCCUGUGGUGUUUAGUCUUUACAACCCUGCCAUUGUUUAUGCAAAUCUGGAUGUGCCCCCACCUGUGGAACAGCAGCUGGUUCACAAAAAGGAUUCUGGCUUUUGGCGAGAUUUUGGCUUUGGAAUGACUUGUCAGUAUCGAUCAGAUUUCCUGACCAUUGGUGGAUUUGAUAUGGAAGUAAAAGGUUGGGGUGGAGAAGAUGUUCAUCUUUAUCGAAAAUACUUACAUGGUGACUUGAUUGUGAUUCGGACUCCGGUUCCUGGUCUUUUCCACCUCUGGCACGAGAAACGCUGUGCUGAUGAGUUGACACCCGAGCAGUACCGCAUGUGCAUCCAGUCCAAAGCCAUGAACGAGGCCUCUCACUCGCACCUGGGAAUGCUGGUCUUCAGGGAGGAAAUAGAGACGCAUCUUCACAAACAGGCAUACAGGACAAAUAGCGAAUCUGUUGGUUAAUGUCAUCAGUGACACAUUAGUCUGAACCACAAACCAGCACUAUUUAGCCUUAAUUCCAAUUCCAGAUGCAGUGCCUCUUUCAGAGAAGACAUGCUUAUCUUUUGUGUUCUUGCUGACAUUACUUUAGCAAUUUAACUUAGUGUGAGAAGAAAAAGCAAGUUUUGCAAUGCAAAGUCUCUGUUUUGUGAGUAUACUUCACUAUGGAAUCAUUGACAAAUCAAAAUCUGGUAUUUGUUCUAAGAGUAGCUUUGAGUUAAUUUUACCCGGCUUCAUGUUCUGAUGUGUAUCCUGGUUGCGUCUGGGCUGAGGGAUGGAAUGUGUUGUGCUGAAGGUGGGUCGGGAGCAUCCUGUUCCCAAAGAGAGGACGGAGUGUUAUGGAUGGAGUGUGUGGGUAAGGGCUCUUCACCUACCGACCACUGAGUCAACCUACUUGGUUUUAAAUUAAGAUCUUUGGGCAGUUGCUUAAAGGAUCCUUUUUCACUGAAGCAGAGAAUAAUUAAAUGACACAUCUAAAAUCCCCAACUAAUCAAGAGAAGGCAGAGACAAAAAUCCCUCAACUUUGUGUUGUUGCCUAGCCCCCUCAAUGUCUGUUUUUAAACAAAUGGGUAAUUGUAGAAAAUACUAAGGUUAUAAUCUGUGGCUUGAUUAAAAAUAUAAUGUGUUACAAAUUUAGCAUCAUGUUCAGGAUUAGGAGUCAAAGUUGCUGUAGACUGUUUUGAACAAACAGAAAUGAACAUGGAAACGUCUUUAACAGAACAGUUAAUUAUGCUGGAGUGUAGGACACUAGGGGUGUCUGGGACAUCAGUUUACAUGAGCCAGGGCCCUAUCAGGGCCUUCUUGUGGUGGUUCAGAAUAGAUGAACAUAGCAUGGUGUCGUGUGUUUUUGGCUUUGUAUUGUCUUAUUUAGCAUGGAUCCAUAUGUAUGUAUUAUCCUUUUUUUCUAAUAUGUUAAUUAAGCUACAUCUGUGUUAUUAUAAUACUUUGAGUUGAGGAGGAGUUUCACUGAAGGAAGAAAAACCAAACAAUUUAAUAAGGUAUACCAUAAGAUCAUACUGAUUUGAGAAAAGGGGAGGAGGGGAAGUUUGUCUAAAUGGAAAUCUGAAUUACAGAAUAUUUUAGAGAAAUAUAUAACUUGCAGAUAGAAUGAUGUUUUAAUUGAGGUGUAAAUUAUAUUAAGGAGACAAGAUGAGUAAGAAAUUAUAUUCAGAUAUGACUGUACUGUGUUAUUUAUCACACAUGGAUCUUUUACCAUAUGGUCAAUUGCUAGAUCCACAAAUUGGAGAUAUGGUGAAAGGCAUGCAUAGAUUUUUGAACCUUUGGCUUUUAAAAGGGACCUAUAUUGAAUUCUUUCUAUUUGUAUAGAAACCCCUGAAAAUUCAUAGAAGACAAAUCAUUACUCUUCUUUCUCAGUAAAUCAUAUCAUCUGAAAUAUUAUAAAUCCCAAAUUUCUUGGUGCUACAUGAAUUCAAUUUUAUAAUAACUCUUACUAAAUAUUCUUACAAGUUUUUAGUUGGGGUAGCAUUUAGGCUUAGUUUUUUAAGAUGUGUAAAAUGUUCUCUGCAAAAUUGUUCAGGCCAUUUUCUCCUUUUAUAUACAGUUAUUUAUUGUGAAGACCAGUGAAUUAAGGUAUUUAAAGUGAGAGAACCUAAUUAUUUACAAAAGUGAGUUGUAGCUGUUUUUUUGACAGAAUCAAAUGAUUUUUUUCCUUUUUUAAAAAAAAAAAAAGCUUUUCAUUUAAAGAUGGAAGCUAAGCAAUGGAAACAUUACUCUGUUUUUGACAGUAAAAGGUACCAAUAAAGUAUUUUAUUACCGAAAGUUAAAUGAAAAUGUGAUAAGUUAGUUUCUUUCUGUUGUAAAAUAUCAUAAAUACAGAAGUGUAUGACAUGUAAAUGUGUACUUUAAAGAAUAAUAAAGCCAACGCUAGUGCACCAGCUAUUCAGAUUAGGAUAUAGAACAUUACCAGUGAAAAGUCUCUGUGUGCCCUUUCUCGAUCACAUACCCUCACCUCACUCUCUGCAUAAUAGUCACUAUCCUGAUUUUUGUGAUAGUUUUUCACUCAUUUUUCUUCACAGUUUUCCCAACUAUGUAUGUAUCUCUACCCAAUGACUAUUUUGCCUGUUUUGAAUUUGUAUGCAUAUUAUUUCAUUAUACUCUAACUUUCAGUAUUUUGUUUUUGAGGUUCACUCAUGUUAAUCUCAAAAUUAAUUCAUUUUCAUUACUGACUAGUAUUCCACUGAAUGAAAAUACUGUAGUAUUAUUCUACUGUUGAUAGAUAUUUGGAUCAUUCAUCAUUUUUUUUUUUGUUUGCUUAUUUGCUUUUGCUAUCACAAGCAAUGUUGUCAUGAAUACUGCUGUGCGUGUCUCUUAGGAGUGUGUGAGAAUUUCUCUAGGAGUAAUGAUGCUAAGUCAUCGGUUGUGUGUACGUUCAACUUACUUUCCGAAGUGGACCACCUCCAGCACUGUAAGAGAUUCACUUUGCAUCCUUGGCAAUACUUAAUUUUGUCAGGCUUAUUAAUUCUUGCUAAUCUAGUGGGCUUUAGGCAUGAAUUGUAAUUAUAAUUUUCAUUUCCAGUCUUUUUGCCCAUUAUUAUAAGUUCAUAGGAAUUCUUCACAUAUUCUGGGUACCAAUUCUUGUUGGUUAAAUGUUUACAAGUAACUUCUCCCAGGAUGUGGCUUGUCUUUUCCCAUUGUUGAUGGUACUUUUUGAUGAAUAAAAAUUAACUUUAAUGUGUUCAAUUAAUCUUUUUCCUUUAUGUUUUCUUUUUAUUACUGAUUUAUGACCUCAUAAUAGAGAAGGGUAUCCUAAAGCUAUUGUUCUGUAUUAUCUUCUAAAUACCUCAUACGUAGCUUUGCUUUUUCCCAGUCAUAAAAGUGGAAGAGGUUUUAUGUAUUAUGUGACGUAAGGAUUGCAUUUCACUUUUUUCCAGCGUCGCCUUACUAUGAAGUCCAUAUUUUGCCCACAGAUCUGCAAAACCACUCUCAUCCAUCAGAUGUCAUACACACACAGGAUUUGUUGUGCAGUGUUGACUGGAGUGAUAGUAGAGGACUUCCUGCCCAUAUUUCUUAUUUCAAGGGAGACAUUCUCAGUGUUUCAUCAGUUUGCCCCUGAAACUGUGUGUAAAGUGAAAGGUGGUAACCCUCAGUCAUCCCAUGGCGUUAGGAGCUGCACACUGCGCUGGUCGCUGGCCACACAGCUACACGCCAAGAGGCUUCUACACAGAAAGAGCUGAGGCCCUAGUGCGUGAGACGGAUGCCGGCAGUAUGUGGUGUGGAUGGUGGGGCAAGGCCGGAGGAGCACGAGCGCCACUCACCAGGAAGAUCAGGUCUGCGCAGGGGCCCUGAGAACAUCUCAGACAAGUUCCCAGUGUUGCUGCUGCUGCCAGGCUGGGACCCACACCUUGAGAAGCACUGCCUGGAGGGACCACCCAUGGGUGAAGGACAGGGCCGUGCCAAGCCAAGCCAGCUCGCGUCCUGCUCCCAGCUCCGCAUCCAAGAUGCAGACCAGAUGAUGUGCUGCUCCUUCUUUAGCUGAGUGCUCCUGAGCGUGACCCAUUGAAACGGAAGGAGAACCGCGCAGCAGAAAGACGUCGGCAGGCACUCCCCAACGUCCCCAGCCCCCGGAGAGACCCACAGCACCCGUGGACACUGAAGGUUCUUGUUAGUCCCUACAGUAAAGGAACCUUGAGAGUCGUUUAAGGUAGGCUUCCUGAACUGACAUGACCAUGUAAUUCCAGCUGCUAGUGAUAUCCUUCUGGAUCUUUCUUUGAGGAAAGCAGCAGAGACCAUGCCUCUUAUACAGCUUUGUUUUGUUUUGCAAUGUUUAUUUGCAAAGCCCUUUGUCAGAAUGUGGAGGUGAGAGCUGCUUGCUCCAUCUCUGAAAGGCCCGUGGUGGCCCUGGCAGUCUCAUCCUCCCCCCCUGGCCUGGGCAUCCCCACGCCUCCUGCCAACACAGAACCACGCACAGAGAACAGGCACACGAGGGGAGCAACAUGUUCUUUUAUUGAUGCAAGUACGUCCAGUCACACCAACAGUUGACAUCCUUUAUUAUUAUAAAGUACAGCUUUAUACGCAGAGUUCAUCUCGAAAUAUCAAAACAUCAUAGGGUAUGUGUCAAAUUGGGAAAAUAAAGUAGCAAAUGUAGCACUGUGUCAGGUCGGUACUAGAACUGAUGACCAAGUGAAGCGCACACUGAUGUGAAAGCUCCUUAACACAUGGACAGAAAAGGUUCUAACAUUGUAUUCCAAAUAUAUAUUCUCAAGUUUUAAACCUUUCUUUAUCUCAAAUACAUAAACAAAGCAAUAUGUACUGUCAAUAUACAAUAUGUACUAUCUAGAACGUCUGGAAAGUGCAAAAACACUGUGACAAUACAGUGUAAAUAUCCUUGCUCCACCCUGGGCUGAGGGCGACAUCAGCAGCGGAUCAUGGAGCCACCUCCCCCUGAGGCCUCGCCUUCACAUCUCCAGGCUCUCCUAGGAGUUUUGGGAAUUAGCAACUAACUGUCCUUACCCAGGCCUGCCAGCUGGAGGCUCCGGCGGAAGCCAGCCAUGUGGAGAGAAACAGGGUGAGUAGUUCCAAAUCUGCUUGGAUGGAAUGACAGCCCCGCCAUGAGGGAGAUACAGUUAGCAUGGAUUGCCCAUUUCUGGCCUUGGAGGGAGCAGGGCUGUCACUGUCUCAUGGCCGGGAAGUCAGAAAAUGGAGAGUACUCCUCGAGUUCGGGUGUGGAAAAUACCUCCAAAUGUUGGGCAGCUUUACGUGAGUGGGCUCCAGCAGGUACUGGCCUGGCUAACCUUCCAUGUUUCACAUUCCGUUAGGGGAGCCCAAUCCCCCACCCAGAGGGAAGGAGGAUACUGAUUUGUAAGUUGCUUCUUUUGACUUUGUACUUGAGUUUCAAGAUGGCUUUAUACGUCCCCAUCCUUAAUUGUACUUUGUAUUCGCUUCAUUACAGCUAAGUAAGUGUGUCAAAGUUACAGCCUGGAAAACGGACAAUUCCAUGACUCCCUCCUUACGUUAUUUUAGAUUUUCUCUUUUCCUAAAAUGUAGGUGAAGAACAAUUUGCCAGACAUCUUCCAACAGAAAAUAUGCUGCCAGGUGUCCCCCUGCCCUCCCCCCAACCCCCAUAAAUCCCUGAUAAAGGAAAAUGAAAAUGUAAACUUUGGAAAGCCCGUAUUCAAGGUUCACUUCUGGAAGUACGCAAAUGAGACCUCCGGGCCACCCGAGCCCUUCUUGCCAGAACCUUGUGGGCCUGCGCUUUGAGGGCAGAGCUUCCCCGGUGCCUCCAGCGGCACUGGCUGCAGGCGAGAGCGGGCCUGCCAGAACCCUCUAAGGCACUCACCCCGACAUCAGAGACACUGGCUGGAAAGGAGGCAGGGCUCACGUUGGUUUUGGUUGGGUUUUUUUAAGUAUUUUUUUGUAAGAUGUUUGUUAAUAAUCAAAAGUAGAAAAUAAAAAUCUACAUUUCAUUAGAAUAAGAUGUUAUCAUGGAUGCCAUCUCCCAUGAUACUCUUUCCCCACCCCUCCCCAAAGCAGGGCCCUGCCCUGUCAUAAACAAAAAGCUUUAAGUGCCAAAGGUUGAUGCAUGAAAUAAUUACUUCUUUUUUUUCAUAAAAGUUAUGUACAAAAUGGACCCCAACCAGUGAGGCCUCAUCUCAGCCCAUUAUCACUCGAGAUUAAAACUCAGUACGUAGGUGUGCUUAAUCCCAGCGUGUGCAGGCUGCAUCCGUGCCUUCAGGCUCUGUUAAGGAGAGUGGUCCUAAAGACUCUGGUAUGGGGCUGGUCUUGGGGGCUCACCGGACUGCUGCUGGAGUUCUCCUACCUGAGGGUCUUCCAGCUGUCCUUUUCCAUGUGGUUCUCGGGACCUUCACUUUCGAAGGAGGCGAUGAAGAGAGCUGAGAGACGAGAAGCCCCGCAGAAGCCAUGUCCACACCCGACACCUCCCAAACCUGACCAGCUCCACAAGACACACACUUGCAAAAACUGGAUUCUCUGAUCAAAUACAUCUGGUCAAGGCUGUAGACUCGCCUCUCAGCCCCUGGGCCCCCCAGACGGUCCAAGACCAUGGAAGUCGAACAAGAAAAAGGCCAGUCUCUGCUUGGUCGGCACUGCCCAACCUGGGGCUGUCGGCCUGCUUUUGCCGACAAACUCCUUGCUGAUCUUUCCCCCAAGCUUUGCUUUAGGCGAUGCCAGUUCUGACUCAAGGCCCAAGGGCCGAGGAGAGCAUGGGCUACCUGCCUUCUGGGGGCGCCGCGGCCAGGUCAGCGGACACACCCAACAUCAGACGGCACUCGGGGCAGCAGGCCCUCAGCAAGGGGCCAGAGCGUGAUGGGACGCCCAGCCCUCCUCAGGCUGACUCGGGACAAGACAGGGUGCCUACCUCUAAGACGUCGAACUUGGCCGUCUUGACUUUGGACCAGGUUUUCUUCAGCCUUGCCACAGGACUGAGGUUCAUGCCAGCUGCAGGGGGGACGACAGCUAGGGUCAGGGCGGGAGGAGAUGGGCCACACCGUGCUGGAGGGGGAGCCCCUGGGGCCCGCACACUCACAGAUGAUGGCCAUCAUGGAGUUGAAGUUCCCGAUGUUGAAGCACUCUCGGGCCACAUCGAUGAAGAACUCCAGCAUGCGAGUCCGAUGCUUCUUCUUCACCACCUGGAGGGCAGCCAGACUGCUCAGCGCGGUCCCCACCAGGGGUCAUCCCCUACCACACCAGCCCCCAAAGUGCAGUGCCCUGGGCCUACGGAGGGGCCUCCCCAGCAGGGAGCUGCCCUGGGCCCUCAGAGCUGUCAGGCCGGGGGUGGAGGGAUUCUCACAGGCUGCAGAGGCAGGAAAUGCAGCCGUGGCAUUUUCGAUGCUGGGCAGAGAGACGGGAGGGUAGUCUGAGAGGACCAAGGGAGACCCAGAUGAGCUGACAGGCCAUGCUGGGCACAGGCUGCCUCCCCGGAUGGGUCUCUGUUGUAAUUUAAGGCAUUACUGUUGGGGUUUGGCGCUCCCAAGGCCCUGGCAAUAAAAACUUCCUAUCUCCA